rnacentral:rRNA from 1 species
UACAGAGGUCUCAAGCGUUGUUCGGAUUCAUUGGGCGUAAAGGGUGCGUAGGCGGCGCGGUAAGUCGGGUGUGAAAUCCUCGGGGCUUAACUCCGAAACUGCAUUCGAUACUGCCGUGCUUGAGGACUGGAGAGGAGACUGGAAUUUACGGUGUAGCGGUGAAAUGCGUAGAUAUCGUAAGGAAGACCAGUGGCGAAGGCGGGUCUCUGGACAGUUCCUGACGCUGAGGCACGAAGGUCAGGGGAGCAAACGGG